rnacentral:rRNA from 1 species
AUUGAACGCUGGCGGAAUGCUUUACACAUGCAAGUCGAACGGCAGCACGGGGGCAACCCUGGUGGCGAGUGGCGAACGGGUGAGUAAUACAUCGGAACGUGCCCGGUCGUGGGGGAUAACGUAGCGAAAGUUACGCUAAUACCGCAUACGAUCUGAGGAUGAAAGCGGGGGACCUUCGGGCCUCGCGCGAUCGGAGCGGCCGAUGUCAGAUUAGGUAGUUGGUGGGGUAAAGGCCUACCAAGCCGACGAUCUGUAGCUGGUCUGAGAGGACGACCAGCCACACUGGGACUGAGACACGGCCCAGACUCCUACGGGAGGCAGCAGUGGGGAAUUUUGGACAAUGGGCGCAAGCCUGAUCCAGCAAUUCCGCGUGCAGGACGAAGGCCUUCGGGUUGUAAACUGCUUUUGUAUGGAACGAAAAGGCUCUGGCUAAUACCUGGAGCUCAUGACGGUACCGUAAGAAUAAGCACCGGCUAACUACGUG